GAUGAAGAACGCAGCGAAAUGCGAUAAGUAAUGUGAAUUGCAGAAUUCAGUGAAUCAUCGAAUCUUUGAACGCACAUUGCGCCCGCCAGCAUUCUGGCGGGCAUGCCUGUUCGAGCGUCAUUUCAACCCUCGAGCCCCCCCGGGGGCCUCGGUGUUGGGGGACGGCACACCAGCCGCCCCCGAAAUGCAGUGGCGACCCCGCCGCAGCCUCCCCUGCGUAGUAGCACACACCUCGCACCGGAGCGCGGAGGCGGUCACGCCGUAAAACGCCCAACUUUCUUAGAGUUGACCUCGGAUCAGGUAGGAAUACCCGCUGAACUUAAGCAUAUCAAUAAGUGGAGGA
rnacentral:misc_RNA from 1 species